GAGGAUCAUUACUGAAGAGGCUACCGGACGCUGGAAACUGCGAAACCUCAUGUGAAACCCGCCCGUGUUUGAUAUUUUUGAUCCUGUGGAAAGGCAUGGCCUCCACUGUAACAAAAUGCACCUGUGUGCCCCCGAUAUGACCAAACUCUGAAUGUUGAAGAUGUCUGAGUACUAUCUUAUAGAUAAAACUUUCAACAACGGAUCUCUUGGUUCAAGCUUCGAUGACAAAUUGCGCCCUCUGGUAUACCGGUGGCAAGCCUGUAAUGAGUGUCAUGGUUCUCAAUCCCUCGCACAUCCGACCCUGUGGUCUCCGCAGGGCAUGCCCGUUCGAGCGUCCUUUAACCACUCACGGCGAGAGUGCCAUUGGGGCACGCGGUCUCCUCGGCCCUCAAAGUUAGGGGCACUGCCGUUGGGCUCUAAGCGUAAAAUUUACUCCCUCUAGAGAGGUCCCGCCGGAGGCCCCCAGAACUUCCAUUUUUACUGGUUGACCUCGGAUCAGGUAGGGAUACCCGCUGAACUUACGCAUAUCAAUAAGCGGAGGAACCUGUGGUUCCUGGCGGAAGAUAAGCAGGGCUACUGCCU
rnacentral:sRNA from 1 species